rnacentral:lncRNA from 1 species
GACAUUUAUAGAAUGAGAACUCAUCAACACCAAAUAAUACGUACUGAUUUUGACUAUUAAGAACCACUGCCAGCACUUCUUGUAUUUACAUCCAGUGAAUACAGCAUGCUCUGUUGCUCCUUUUUUUUCAUAUCUUUUUUAUAUGCGAAUUUACCUCACAUAUUGCAUCAUGUUCAAAUAGGAGGGAGUGAAUGGUUUUUCGUCAGCCAAAUGUUCCUCACCCAAACAGAGCAGUUGCAUCUGGUUACAACCAUUUCUGAAACAGAUAAUGUACCCAUUUUUGGUAUAACAAUUCCAAAUAUUAGGAUUAUGUUGUUUCCAGCUAAAAAUACAAAACAACCAUAGAUGUUAACCUAAUAUAAACCAAACUUACAAAGAAAUGCCGAGAAAAUUAAGACAUUUUCUUUAGAAAAUAUAUAAAUGAAAAUAAGGAGACAACAGAAAAUGAAAUAAUAACAAAUUUAAAAUUUAAAGGAAGAAGAAAAAAACCCAUCUCACUCUGUUAUGGAAGGAAAACAAAGGAUAAAAUAAUGAUAUAUGAAAAUUUUUGUUACUAUUUUCCAGGCAACCAAACAGAAAAGAAGGAGAGUUUACCUCAAGUUAUGGAUCUAUAGAGUUCAGUGUUGAGGAGAAGAGAGAACUGUUGGAACCAAAUAAGGGUGAAGUAGGGGAGUCUAGCUCAUACCGUGGAAAGUGGAGGAGGAGAGGAUUGUGAAAAGGAAGGGGGCCUCGGAAGUCACUUUACAAUUAUUUUGGGUAAUUUUAAAUUUUUGAAAAUUCAUUUCUCACAUGCUACUCCAAAAAUCACUUCAAGUGAUUUUUUAGAUUUUCAAAAGUAAUUUUUAAAAUCUUACUAAAUGUCUAUUUUUUACCAAAAAAACGCUUUCAAGUACUAGAAAGGUUAAAAGCGCUUCUUAAAAUCAAUCUCUAAA